UAGGGAAUCUUCCGCAAUGGGCGAAAGCCUGACGGAGCAACGCCGCGUGAGUGAUGAAGGUCUUCGGAUCGUAAAACUCUGUUAUUAGGGAAGAAUAAAUGUGUAAGUAACUAUGCACGUCUUGACGGUACCUAAUCAGAAAGCCACGGCUAACUACGUGCCAGCAGCCGCGGUAAUACGUAGGUCCCGAGCGUUGUCCGGAUUUAUUGGGCGUAAAGCGAGCGCAGGCGGUUAGAAAAGUCUGAAGUGAAAGGCAGUGGCUCAACCAUUGUAGGCUUUGGAAACUGUUUAACUUGAGUGCAGAAGGGGAGAGUGGAAUUCAAUGUGUAGCGGUGAAAUGCGUAGAUAUAUGGAGGAACACCGGUGGCGAAAGCGGCUCUCUGGUCUGUAACUGACGCUGAGGUUCGAAAGCGUGGGUAGCAAACAGG
rnacentral:rRNA from 1 species